UGAUCAGUUCAGGUUCACGUUUCUGAUGUUUCAGGUGUUACGCCACAUUCCCAUGCUAGUCAUAACUAGGAAACUCUGAAAUUUCUAACUUGCUGAUUUGUUGAAUGUGGCAUAUCUAUAACUACAAUCAGUUAGCAAGUUGGAAAUGUCUGUUUCCUAGUUCUGACUAGCAUGUGAACAUGGCGUAACACUUGAAACGUGAACCUGAACUGAUCAUUUGAGUACCUGUUUGGGGUUGUUUGGGGAUAUUUUGGGUUAUUCUGGUACCGGUUUGGCAGAGGAGGCAGGUGGGAGGAUCUAUAGGAAGACGGGCGCGUUCACUUUUGUCAAGACAGGGACCAACGUUGGUCACCAACUUUCAAAGUGUGUUGCAUUAUGGGUAUAGAAAUUGUCAGACUACAUCGGCUGCAUGACCUUUACAACAAUCAUAUGAUCAAAGGUUAUGAACUUCGACUGCAGUCUACUGAACAUUUCUUCAGUUGCUCCUCAGCAACUGAAACUUGAAUUCAGAACCAAAGCAUUGUGUGAGAUGAGCCUCUUCAAUUUUUUUGAUUAUUUGAUUUUUGAUUGUUGAUUUUUGGUUAUUAUCAAUGCAUGUUUACUGUUUUGGGUGGAUGACUAUUUAGAGCUUAAAUAGAUCUUUAUCUUUACAUCCUAACAAUCUAAUUACAUAGGCCUACAUGUGAUCCAAAUUUCUAACAUAAAUAAAUGAAAUAUCCUACUAGAUGCUACUGUAAUGUUGUGUCCCAUGUUAUAUCCUACAAUUUAUUUGUUUAGUCUGUAAUAUUGUUGUCACCAAACAAAUGCAAAUGUGUUGAUUGUCUAUUAAGUGUGAGUAAAAUUGAAUACAUAUUAUAAGCUGCACAUGGCUUAUUUUAGGGGAUUUCUACACCGGCAAUUUUAGAGGCUUAAUCUGUGUCCAGGAAACCAGCCCUUAAUGAGCAAGUAUUUCAGACGCCAGUCGUGGGGUCAAUACCAACUGCGUUUGACUGCUUGGCAUAUUGUUUGGCAUAUUGUUUGCCAAGUAAUUUAUGGGAACUGAUGUACAUGUAGUCUAAUCAUUUUCAUAUUGUUUACCCAGUAAUUAAUUUGAACUGAUGUACAUGUAUAGUCUAAUCCUGUUCAUAUUGUUUACCCAGUACAUGAACUGAUGUACAUGUAUAGUCUAAUCCUGUUCAUAUUGUUUACCCAGUAUGUGAACUGAUGUACAUGUAUAGUCUAAUCCUGUUCAUAUUGUUUAUCCAGUACGUAAACUGAUGUACAUGUAUAGUCUAAUCCUUUUCUGUACAGUGAGUUUUUUGUCCUUCAUGCGCUUGAAUCAAAUUCUGUUCUUUACAUGCUGACAAAAGCAACAUAAAGGUUGAGAAUUAAAGAAC
rnacentral:lncRNA from 1 species